AGAUCACUGACCAACCAGGGUCCAACCGGGGUCCCCUUGGCGGCGGCUCUGCCUCCCGUUCCCAGCCUUGCAGUCAGACCUGCCCUUGUUAUGCUCUUCUGGUAAACAGCCUCUCUUUAGAACUGGGAGCUUCCCAGCCAGCUUGCUGCAGCGAGAUGGUUUUUGUUUUUUUUUUUUUUUCUCUCGGCUGAAAGGCGCCCCCUGGGUCCUAAGCCUCCAAUGCCAGGCUCAUCUCUCUACCCUGAGUCAGGAGAGGAACUCAGCCAAGCGAAGAGAGGCCGAAAAGUUCAGGUUGUGCUUAGCAGUGGUUCAGCUUGAGACCUGCACUGUCUGCAUCCCCGGGGCCUUUCAUCUCUUCUGUUUCCAUUUGUCACAACUUCCCAGAAAGUGGGCUGUGGCAGAAUGCAUCUCGCCUGACUCCAGCCAGCUGCAGGUGUCUGGAAGAGGGUUGAAGAUGGUCAGAUGCUAAGGGCAGAGCCCCUCUUCUUCUCUCCACCCCCAAGCCGCAAGUGCCAGGGUAAGAAAGCUGAGAUUCAGAAGUGUUCUGCACAAGAGAGCCAAUUUUUGGAUGCUGCCACACAGAGAGAGACAACAGCCAGUCAGUCUUGAAGAGCAGCAGCCAACCAACAGAGAGAUGGCCACUUCCCCAUGGCCUCCCGGCCCCUGUCCACAGCCCCGCCUCAGACAGGAGCAGGGGGGAUGUGGCAGAGGACAGACCGCCUUCCACCACCCUCCACUCAGGCCACCAGGGCCAUGGCCACAUCUAGCUUCCCUGGGAGUGGAGGCCGAGAGCUUUGAAGGAGAGCUUGACCUGGACAUUUUUAAGUACCAGCCUGUGUAAUCCUCACAGCAGCUGUGAGAAUAAGAGCUGCACCUGCCAGAGCACACCCGGUUAGAAAGAGGUGGUGCGGAGAUCUGCACCCGCUGGCCAUCUCUGGAGAUCACCAUGAGACAGGGCCCCUGGUGACCGCCCGGGGAAGGGGCAGGUGCAGCGCCGUGGAAGGUCGGAGGAGGGCAGAGGCAAAGAAGGCCAUGGAAACGGUAAGACUCAGAUGCACAGGGCUGUGAAGGAAGAGCCUUCCAGGUGGAGGGUGUUCCAGGGUAAAGGCUCGGGGCUGGGGGCCAGUGGGACUUGCUGAGAA
rnacentral:lncRNA from 1 species